rnacentral:rRNA from 1 species
CACUGCCGAGAAAAGCCUCUAGAUAGAAAAUAGGUGCCCGUACCGCAAACCGACACAGGUAGUCAAGAUGAGAAUUCUAAGGUGAGCGAGCGAACUCUCGUUAAGGAACUCGGCAAAAUGACCCCGUAACUUCGGGAGAAGGGGUGCUCUUUAGGGUUAACGCCCAGAAGAGCCGCAGUGAAUAGGCCCAAGCGACUGUUUAUCAAAAACACAGGUCUCUGCUAAACCGUAAGGUGAUGUAUAGGGGCUGACGCCUGCCCGGUGCUGGAAGGUUAAGAGGAGUGGUUAGCUU